rnacentral:rRNA from 1 species
UAGCCGUAAACGAUACUCGCUAGGUGUCGGCCACGGUGCGACCGUUGUCGGUGCCGUAGGGAAGCCGUGAAGCGAGCCACCUGGGAAGUACGGCCGCAAGGCUGAAACUUAAAGGAAUUGGCGGGGGGAGCACAACAACGGGUGGAGCUUGCGGUUUAAUUGGAUUCAACGCCGGAAAUCUUACCGGGACCGACAGCAACAUGAAGGCCAAGCUGAAGACUUUGCCGGAUUAAGCUGAGAGGAGGUGCAUGGCGUAGUCGUGU